CUAAUACAUGCAAGUCGAGCGGACUUGAUGGAGAGCUUGCUCUCCUGAUGGUUAGCGGCGGACGGGUGAGUAACACGUAGGCAACCUGCCUGCAAGACCGGGAUAACCCACGGAAACGUGAGCUAAUACCGGAUAUCUCAUUUCCUCUCCUGAGGGRAUGAUGAAAGACGGAGCAAUCUGUCACUUGCGGAUGGGCCUGCGGCGCAUUAGCUAGUUGGUGAGGUAACGGCUCACCAAGGCGACGAUGCGUAGCCGACCUGAGAGGGUGAACGGCCACACUGGGACUGAGACACGGCCCAGACUCCUACGGGAGGCAGCAGUAGGGAAUCUUCCGCAAUGGGCGAAAGCCUGACGGAGCAACGCCGCGUGAGUGAUGAAGGUUUUCGGAUCGUAAAGCUCUGUUGCCAGGGAAGAACGUCCGRUAGAGUAACUGCUAUCGGAGKACGGUAC
rnacentral:rRNA from 1 species